UGCCUUUGGGGCACUUCCGUCCCCUACAACCUCCAUUGGCAUUUCCACUCCAAAAUGAAAUAAAAUUUCAUAAAAUGAAAUCAAAACACUGUGCCUGCUACUCAGAUGUGCUUUCAAGACAAGUCCCCCGGCUGCCUCUUUUUAUUGGGUUGUCAACCCUAAGCCCGUGUAGAAAUUCUGGAACCAAGACUGGAGCCAGGCAUUAAGACUCUCUUUUCAGACAGUUCUUCUCGAGUCUCCACUGCUUUGGGGUCGGCCACUGUUGUAGUUAUCUAUUGCUGCAUAACAAGUGACCCUAAAACCUGGUGACCUUAAAACAGCAAACAAUUGUUAUUUCACAGUCUCUGAGUGUCAUGAAUCUGGGAGUGGCUUAGCUGGUGUGACUCUGGGCCAGGGCCUCUCAGGUGGCUGCAAUCAGGAUGUUGGCUGGGGGAGCAGUCAUCCAAAGGCUUGACUGGGGCUGGAAGGUCUGCUUCCAAGAUGGCGCACCCGCAUGGCUGUGGCCGCAGUUCUUCACUGCCUAUUGGUAGGGGGCCAUAGGUCCUUGCCAUCAUUCUAAUAAGAAUGACUAACCCUGCCUGGGUGAGGUGGAGAGAGAGAAUGAACAAAGGCUUCACACAGGGAAGAAUGCUGUGACACUGGGUUUUGAAGGAUGAAUAGGAGUUCUUGAGGAAGAUAAUCCAUGAGGUAAGUGCAACGAAGCAGAAAAAACAGGCUUUGAAGUCAGAACAAAAUAGGUUCAAAUCCUGGUUCAGCUACUAGCUGUGUGAGCAUUAGCAAGUCACUUAUCUUCUUUGCGACUGUCACCUUACCUAUAAAUUAGGGAUAACAAAACAAAUGAUGCUCUAGGGUUAUCGUAGAGAUUGGAGAUAGUGCUUGAGAGGCGUUGGGCGGACUGUAGGUGUUCAAUAAAUGAUAAGAAAAAUUCUUCUUUGCGGGCAUCCAUCCACUUCUCCAUUUCAGACAUCUGAGGCCCGAAAAGGUCUGUUGUGCUUGGAGCACAGAGGGAAAUUCUGCGGGCUGGGUCACGUUCAUGGGGCUCUAGCUCAUUCCUGUCUCUUGCCCCAGCCCAGUCCGGUUCAUGCACUCAUUGCCUAGACCAGCCGAUAACGAUUAAUUGUUAGUGGAAGAAUCUGGGUCCUGGCAGCCUCAGUCUGAGACUUGGCUGAUAGAGCAGGUGAGGAGGGACGGGGCGCUUGGCUCUCCCCUCUCUGCUCUUCCCAAGUCAGUUCCACGGGCAACCGACUUGACCCGGACGGAGAUCUACAGCUGCAGAGGUGAAUUUUGUCCCAGGUGCCUUCCUGCAGCACCCAGUCACGGGCCCUGUUCCCCUGCUCUGCUGGCGCGGUGACAUUAGCAUUGUGUAGGCGGCUGUUUAGGAGUAAGAGAUCAAGGUGUUACGUCUGUCGUGGGCAAGGCCAGUAAACUGAGGGGGAGGUAGGCAGCUGGAGGGAAAUUGCCUGGGUUUGCUGGCAGCGGCCUCGCUCCCUGGCUUAACGUGACUCUGUGGUGUGGCUGCGGGUAUGGGGAGCUGGCCACGGCUUGGGUUUUUUUCAACAGUUGGUUCUGGGUCUUAGAGGGACAAAGCGGGAAGAGUGGGAAGCUCUGUUCCUCUGGCUUGCUGCUCUCGUGCAAAUUUUUCUGUGCUGUGUUUCUUCACUAGAAUUCCUCUCUCUGAACCCUGUGCAGGACUUCAGUGUAUGUUGUCUUCUUC
ensembl:lncRNA